rnacentral:lncRNA from 1 species
AAAAAAUUCAUCUUCACCAACAACUAAAAUCACAAUUUGAAUUUUGAUAUUAUAAAUUCAAUUAGUACCAAAUAAAAAAUUGAAAAUACACUAUCAUCAUGACCACUAUACAAAAAAUCACAUGGCUUAUAUAUAACUAUAUAUUACCAUAUGCUACUACACGUGACUAUAUAUGACUACAUGUAUAUGACCACUCGUGACUAUAUAUGACUACACGUAUAUGACCACUUGUGACUAUAUAUGACUACAUGUAUAUGACCACAUGUGACUAUAUAUUACUACAUGUAUAUGACCACAUUUGACUAUAUAUGACU